GGGUGCGAUCAUACCUGCGUUAAUGCAUUGGAUCCCAUCAGAACUUUGUAGUUAAGCACACUUGGGAUAGAAUAGUACUGGGAUGGGUGACCUCCUGGGAAGUCCUAGUGUUGCAUCCU
rnacentral:rRNA from 1 species